rnacentral:rRNA from 1 species
UUAAAUUGAAGAGUUUGAUCAUGGCUCAGAUUGAACGCUGGCGGCAGGCCUAACACAUGCAAGUCGAACGGUAACAGGAAACAGCUUGCUGUUUCGCUGACGAGUGGCGGACGGGUGAGUAAUGUCUGGGAAACUGCCUGAUGGAGGGGGAUAACUACUGGAAACGGUAGCUAAUACCGCAUAACGUCGCAAGACCAAAGAGGGGGACCUUCGGGCCUCUUGCCAUCGGAUGUGCCCAGAUGGGAUUAGCUAGUAGGUGGGGUAACGGCUCACCUAGGCGACGAUCCCUAGCUGGUCUGAGAGGAUGACCAGCCACACUGGAACUGAGACACGGUCCAGACUCCUACGGGAGGCAGCAGUGGGGAAUAUUGCACAAUGGGCGCAAGCCUGAUGCAGCCAUGCCGCGUGUAUGAAGAAGGCCUUCGGGUUGUAAAGUACUUUCAGCGGGGAGGAAGGGAGUAAAGUUAAUACCUUUGCUCAUUGACGUUACCCGCAGAAGAAGCACCGGCUAACUCCGUGCCAGCAGCCGCGGUAAUACGGAGGGUGCAAGCGUUAAUCGGAAUUACUGGGCGUAAAGCGCACGCAGGCGGUUUGUUAAGUCAGAUGUGAAAUCCCCGGGCUCAACCUGGGAACUGCAUCUGAUACUGGCAAGCUUGAGUCUCGUAGAGGGGGGUAGAAUUCCAGGUGUAGCGGUGAAAUGCGUAGAGAUCUGGAGGAAUACCGGUGGCGAAGGCGGCCCCCUGGACGAAGACUGACGCUCAGGUGCGAAAGCGUGGGGAGCAAACAGGAUUAGAUACCCUGGUAGUCCACGCCGUAAACGAUGUCGACUUGGAGGUUGUGCCCUUGAGGCGUGGCUUCCGGAGCUAACGCGUUAAGUCGACCGCCUGGGGAGUACGGCCGCAAGGUUAAAACUCAAAUGAAUUGACGGGGGCCCGCACAAGCGGUGGAGCAUGUGGUUUAAUUCGAUGCAACGCGAAGAACCUUACCUGGUCUUGACAUCCACAGAACUUUCCAGAGAUGGAUUGGUGCCUUCGGGAACUGUGAGACAGGUGCUGCAUGGCUGUCGUCAGCUCGUGUUGUGAAAUGUUGGGUUAAGUCCCGCAACGAGCGCAACCCUUAUCCUUUGUUGCCAGCGGUCCGGCCGGGAACUCAAAGGAGACUGCCAGUGAUAAACUGGAGGAAGGUGGGGAUGACGUCAAGUCAUCAUGGCCCUUACGACCAGGGCUACACACGUGCUACAAUGGCGCAUACAAAGAGAAGCGACCUCGCGAGAGCAAGCGGACCUCAUAAAGUGCGUCGUAGUCCGGAUUGGAGUCUGCAACUCGACUCCAUGAAGUCGGAAUCGCUAGUAAUCGUGGAUCAGAAUGCCACGGUGAAUACGUUCCCGGGCCUUGUACACACCGCCCGUCACACCAUGGGAGUGGGUUGCAAAAGAAGUAGGUAGCUUAACCUUCGGGAGAGCGCUUACCACUUUGUGAUUCAUGACUGGGGUGAAGUCGUAACAAGGUAACCGUAGGGGAACCUGCGGUUGGAUCACCUCCUUACCUUAAAGAAGC